UCUGCCCUUAGAGGCAUUGCAGUUGUGGCUGCUUUAUCACAUGUUUGUCAGUAGGUCUCAGAGGAGAGGCUACAUCUACCUCAUUGUUCUGACUUGUGAAGUUUUGAAUGAUUUACGAGUCUAAUAUU